GACCAAUCACGCCUACAGUGCUUUGAAGGU
rnacentral:piRNA from 1 species